CUGACAGAAGAGAGUGAGCACACACAGACAAUUGUAUAAUGGUAUGCUGUUGCCGGUGCGUGCUCACUUCUCUUUCUGUCAG
rfam:Nelumbo nucifera unplaced genomic scaffold scaffold00101, whole genome shotgun sequence